rnacentral:rRNA from 1 species
UACGUAGGGAGCAAGCGUUGUCCGGAAUCAUUGGGCGUAAAGCGCGCGUAGGCGGCCUCAUAAGUCCGUUGUGAAAGUCAAAGGCUCAACCUUUGAAAGCCGAUGGAUACUGUGAGCUAGAGUACGGAAGAGGCGAGUGGAAUUCCUGGUGUAGCGGUGGAAUGCGCAGAUAUCAGGAGGAACACCAAUAGCGAAGGGCAGUCUCUGGGGACGUUUA